rnacentral:sRNA from 1 species
CUCUCUCUCUUUUUUUUUUUUAGAGACAGAGUCUCGCUCUGUCGCCCAGGCUGGAGUGCAGUGGCACAAUCUCGGCUCACUGCAACCUCCGCCUCCCAGCUUCAAGCGAUUCCCCUGCCUCAGCCUCCCGAGUAGCUGGGACUAUAGGUGUGUGUCACCACGCCUGGCUAAUUUUUUGUAUUUUUAGUAGAGAUGGGGUUUCACCGUGUUAGUGAGGAUGGUCUCUAUCUCCUGACUUCGUGAUCUACCUGCCUCGGCCUCCCAAAGUGCUGGGAUUACAGGUGUGAGCCACCUCACCCGGCCCGCCCUGUUGGCUUGUUUUUGAUGAAGGCAUUUGCUUCACCUGUAUUUGAAUAUUUGCAUAUAUUUAAAGGAGGAAUUAAUUCCAAUGAGUGUGAAAAUGUAUCAAGAAAAAAGAAAAUGUUAGAGGAAUUUGAAGCCAAUACUAUGGAUUCUCUGAUAGACAUGCCAUUUGCCACUGUAGAUAUUCAGGAUGACUGUGGAAUCACUGAUGAACCUCAAAUAAAUUUGAAGAGAAGUCAAGAAAAUGAAUGGGUCAAGAGUGAUCAAGUAAAGAAGAGGAAAAAAAAGAGAAAAGAUUAUCAACCCAACUAUUUCCUGUCCAUUCCAAUCACCAACAAAGAGAUUAUAAAAGGAAUUAAGAUCCUGCAGAAUGCAAUAAUACAACAAGAUGAGCGACUGGCCAAAGCAAUGGUCCAGACACAGGUGGCACCUCCAACUUCCUUCAGGGGGCUCAGAUAUGGACGGAGUGAGACAGUACAUUUCGUAGCCAUGAUCGCAGUCAUCACAAAAGCCCAGCUGGUCAUCAUCUUCAGAGGUGCCGCAGAUAUCGCAACAUUUGUGCUCGAUGCACUGCCAGCAGUAUGUCUUCACUGCCCUA